UCACAUAGCCUGAGCUGAUGCCCGUUUGCCCUAUGAUAUCAAUGUUGUGAUGUCACAAAGGAAGAACAGUCUUACAUUUUCAACCAAUCAAAGUGUGAAGUACAAAUUACGACAAUGUUUGGAUGGUAGUGGUGACUUAAAAUGCUUUCUAAAAGAAUUCCUUUCUUUUCUUUUCCAUUCUGUGUAUUGAGAAAGAAGGAAAACCACUCUGAAUCAAAUUCUGGAACAACUGCAGCUGAUCAUUGCUCAUGUGGAACAGAAAACUGAGGAGAGGCUUUCAUAUGACAACUUUGCAGGUUUUGGUUACUACACGGCAUUAAACUGAAGAUACAGAGAUCUAGUCUAUUAACAAGAAGAGUUCUUAUAUUUCAUCAACUUGUAAGAAAGGUAACAAAGAUGAAAACAAAAAAUUCUGGCAAUGGCUAAGGAGGGUCAAGGUGGACUGCAAUGAAUGGCAAAGAUAUGACAUAAAAAGCAGCAGCCUUGGAGAAAUUGAGCCAGAAUGUACUGAAGCACAAGCAAAAAUACACUGCACACUGCAAACAAAAGACAUCGAACAGAAGGGGGAAAGGAUGGAAAAAUGAGGCGACACCAAGACACACACACAAGAUGCACACAUUAAACUGGUUGCCCAUGUACAACAUUUUCAGCUCUGCACAGAAUUUAUACAUUUGUGUCACCUUAGCUGUUACCACAUUUUUAGUACCAUGAAGCAGAGUGAGCUUGCAUUAAUUUUUUUUUAAAUUGUUAUGGCUGACAAUGCCAUUUGUAAUGCUGAAUGUCUUCUUUUUUGUGUUGAAAAUUGGUCUGAUUCAAACAUCAUCCGUUCUUGACUGUCAAACCAUGGUUUGGUAAACAGCUUCCAUGCUCCUUUCCCUCAUACUUCUCCCUCCCUUCUCUAGUUAGAGUUAGCAGUGGUUCACUGUUAUAUCUGAACUGGAAUAGUUACAAUAACCGCUAACCAUAAUUAGCUUUAGAACUAGAGACAACUUUCUAAUCCUGGUCUCAAUUUCUAGUUUAGAAUCUAACUAUGGGUAGUGUUACCUAUGGCUAUGUCAAUUCAGUCUUGACGCUAACCAAGGAAGGAAAAGGAAAGGGGCAUGUGAAGCUGAAAAGAAAGAAAGAGGAGAUAAGGCCAGGAGUCUGCAAACCUGCAGAGCACUCCUAAUUGCCAAAUGGUAUGCAUAGCCCAUGCUUUUGGGGCAAGCCACAGUAAUAAAAUAAAGCUGAAAAUGUUUUAUUGUUCCCAAGGUGGAAACGACUGUAGGAAAGAAAUUGUUAUCUAUGAUAAUGGAGAUGUGUGGUGGUGAUUGAUGGUUUUGAAAAAGACUAAUAAAUAGUCAAACAAAAUACAUUGCCCUUUUGAUUACUGUAAUAUGCAUUACAUUGGGCUGCAUCUGAAAGCUCUAGAAAAUGUAACUAGUUUGUUUUAAGGCUCAAUCUAAGGUGUUGGUUUUGACUUUUAAAGCUCUGUGUAGCCUGGGACUGGGAUGCCUCAAACCACCUUCUUUAGAAUGAACCGACUCAUGAACAAAGGUCAUCUCCAGAGGCUCCAUGUCUGCCCCCCCACCCCGGUCAUCUAAUGGAUAAUGCCUAUUCAGAAAAGGGCCUUCUCAAUAUUGGUGUCUAGAAUACAACUCCUCCCAGAGGGAAACUUGCUUGGCUCCUGUGAUAAUGGUUGCUUUCUUGCUGCUUUGGCAUUGGCUUUAUUGCUUAUGUUGCUAUUUUA